rnacentral:rRNA from 1 species
UUUGAGAGUUUGAUCCUGGCUCAGGAUAAACGCUGGCGGCGUGCCUUAGGCAUUAAGGCGGGAAAGUGGCGGACGGGUGAGUAAUGCAUAGGAACGUACCCUAAAGUGAAGGACAUCUCGUCGAAAGACGGGGUAAUCCUGCAUAGUCUCGUUCUUCGGAGUAAAGGGAUUAACUUCCCGCUUUUGGAGCGGCCUAUGUUCUAUCAGCUAGUUGGUGGGGUAAUGGCCUACCAAGGCUACGACGGAUAGCUGGAGUGAGAGCUUGACCAGCCACAAUGGCACUGAGAUACGGGCCAUACACCUACGGGUGGCAGCAACCGGGAAUAGUCGGCAAUGGACGAAAGUCUGACCGCGCGACGCCGCGUGAGGGAUGAAGUCUUUCGGGAUGUAAACCUCUUUUACCAGGGAAAAGCAAGGAUGGUACCUGGUGAAUAAGCAUCUACUAACUACGUGCCAGCAGUCGCGGUAAUACGUAGGAUGCAAGCGUUAUCCGAAUUUACUGGGCGUAAAGGGUCGCGUAGGCGUCCCAUCGCAUCUUGUUUUAAAGACCGGGGCUUAACCCCGGAAUUGGGCAAGAGAUGGAUGGGAUUGAAGGUUGGUGGGGUUUCCGGAACUUGCGGUGUAGCAGUGAAAUGCGUUGAUAUCGCAAGGAACACCAAGAGCGAAGGCAGGAAACCAACCAACUCUUGACGCUGAGGCACGAAAGCUAAGGGAGCGAAGCAGAUUAGAGACCUGCGUAGUCUUAGCUGUAAACGCAUGGGUGCUAGAUGGUCCAGCCUAGCUGGACUGUCGUAAGUUAACACGUUAAGCACCUCGCCUGGGGAGUACGAUCGCAAGAUUAAAACUCAAAGGAAUUGGCGGGGACCCGCACAACCGGUGGAGCAUGUGGUUUAAUUCGAGACGAAGCGAAGGACCUCACCAAGGUUUGACAUGUUAUCGUGUAUCCCGCUAGAAAUAGUGAGAAAUCCGCAAGGAUGAUAACACAGCUGCUGCAUGGCUGUCGUCAGCUCGUACCGUGAGGUGUUCCCUUAAGUGGGAUAACGAGCGCAACCCCUGUCAUUUGUUAAAUGUUCAAAUGAGACGGUCCCGACGUACGUUGGGAAGGAAGGUGGGGAAGAC